rnacentral:rRNA from 1 species
GUGCCAGCAGCCGCGGUAAUACGGAGGGAGCAAGCGUUACUCGGAAUUAUUGGGCGUAAAGGGCGCGUAGGCGAUUCAGUAAGUCUUAUGUGAAAGCCCAGAGCUUAACUCUGGAAGUGCACGAGAUACUGCUGAAAUUGAGUUCCGGAGAGGAAGGCAGAAUUCCCGGUGUAGCGGUGAAAUGCGUAGAUAUCGGGAGGAAUACCAGUGGCGAAGGCGGCCUUCUGGACGGAUACUGACGCUGAGGCGCGAAAGCCAGGGGAGCAAACGGGAUUAGAAACCCGCGUAGUCC